UACGGAGGAAGCAAGCGUUAUCCGGAAUUACCGGGCGUAAGGAGUUGCGUAGGUGGCAUUGUAAGUCGGUAGUGAAAGCGUGGGGCUCAACCUCAUAUCCAUUACCGAAACUGCAAAGCUAGAGGACGAGAGAGGUUAUUGGAAUUCCCAGUGUAGGAGUGAAAUCCGUAGAUAUUGGGAGGAACACCGAUGGCGUAGGCAGAUAACUGGCUCGUUCCUGACACUAAGGCACGAAAGCGUGGGUAGCAAACGGG
rnacentral:rRNA from 1 species